AAAAUCCGUCGACUUUAUAAGUUGUGAGGGUUCAAGUCCCUCUAUCCCCACCCCA
rnacentral:tRNA from 1 species